rnacentral:rRNA from 1 species
GACGAACGCUGGCGGCGUGCUUAACACAUGCAAGUCGAACGAUGAACCCGGAGCUUGCUCUGGGGGAUUAGUGGCGAACGGGUGAGUAACACGUGAGUAACCUGCCCUGGACUCUGGGAUAAGCGUUGGAAACGACGUCUAAUACCGGAUAGGACCUUGGAUCGCAUGAUCUGGGGUGGAAAGUUUUUUCGGUCUGGGAUGGACUCGCGGCCUAUCAGCUUGUUGGUGAGGUAAUGGCUCACCAAGGCGUCGACGGGUAGCCGGCCUGAGAGGGUGACCGGCCACAGGGGGACGGACACCGGGCCCGGACCCCUCGGGGGGGCAGCAGGGGGGAAUAGUGCAAAAGGGGGAAAGGCUGGAUGAAGAAACGCGGCGGGGGGGGUGACGGCCUUGGGUUUGAAACCCGCUUUUAGUAGGAAAGAAGGGCUGGGGCUUGAGGGUCCCUGAAAAAAAAGGCCCGGCUAACUACGUG